GACGAACGCUGGCGGCGCGCCUAACACAUGCAAGUCGAACGGAGCUUAGAGAGCUUGCUUUUUAAGCUUAGUGGCGAACGGGUGAGUAACGCGUGAGUAACCUGCCCUAGAGUGGGGGACAACAGUUGGAAACGACUGCUAAUACCGCAUAAGCCCACGGUACCGCAUGGCACUGAGGGAAAAGGAUUUAUUCGCUUUAGGAUGGACUCGCGUCCAAUUAGCUAGUUGGUGAGGUAACGGCCCACCAAGGCGACGAUUGGUAGCCGGACUGAGAGGUUGAACGGCCACAUUGGGGCUGAGACACGGCCCAGACUCCUACGGGAGGCAGCAGUGGGGGAUAUUGCACAAUGGGGGAAACCCUGAUGCAGCGACGCCGCGUGGAGGAAGAAGGUUUUCGGAUUGUAAACUCCUGUCGUUAGGGACGAUAAUGACGGUACCUAACAAGAAAGCACCGGCUAACUACGUGCCAGCAGCCGCGGUAAAACGUAGGGUGCAAGCGUUGUCCGGAAUUACUGGGUGUAAAGGGAGCGCAGGCGGGAAGACAAGUUGGAAGUGAAAACCAUGGGCUCAACCCAUGAAUUGCUUUCAAAACUGUUUUUCUUGAGUAGUGCAGAGGUAGAUGGAAUUCCCGGUGUAGCGGUGGAAUGCGUAGAUAUCGGGAGGAACACCAGUGGCGAAGGCGGUCUACUGGGCACC
rnacentral:rRNA from 1 species